rnacentral:rRNA from 1 species
UACGUAGGGUGCAAGCGUUGUCCGGAAUCAUUGGGCGUAAAGAGCGCGUAGGCGGCCAGAUAAGUCCGGUGUGAAAGUCACAGGCUCAACCUGUGAAUGCCGCUGGAAACUGUCUGGCUAGAGUCCGGGAGGGGCGAGUGGAAUUCCUGGUGUAGCGGUGAAAUGCGCAGAUAUCAGGAGGAACACCAAUGGCGAAGGCAGCUCGCUGGAACGGAACUGACGCUGAGGCGCGAAAGCGUGGGGAGCGAACAGG